GUGCUCGUAGCUCAGUCGGAUAGAGCGUUGGUCUCCGAAGCCAAAGGUCACGGGUUCGACUCCCGUCGAGCACA
rnacentral:tRNA from 1 species